rnacentral:tRNA from 1 species
GGUGGCUCAUUGGUAGAGCACUUGCCUUGCAUGCCUGUGGCCCUGAGUUCAAUUCCUCAGCACCA